AAACCCAAUCGAGAUGCAGACUGUUGGAUUAUUUAUACUUACGUACGGUUUGUGAUAAGCAUCGGGGUAUACUGUUAAAGAACUUGUAUGAGUAAUUUUCAAUACGAUUUGUACAGUUUCAUUUGUGUGUCGGUUUUGAGUCGUGUUUGAUUAAGGACUGUAUAUGAUAUUGGUAACACUAACAGUAUAGUAUCGUAAAUUGUCCCUACUGACUGAUGUUUCCAGUGUAAUUCAAGAAAUUGACAGCAAAUUACCAUGCUGUAAAUAAACUUUGAACUUUGUUACUCAUAAGACAUAUUUUUUAAAUCUCGUAUAUAUACUUAGUGAUUUUCUUCAACUAAGUAUGUUAUCAAAAAUUCAUCAUUAUUUAAAACAGCAUUGAAGUUGCAACUUGUAUUUUUAGAACAGUAACAAAGAUAUGUGCUUUCACAUCAGACAGGUUAAUUUUGUAUUUUUACAUAUAUAUGGAAAAACAAAAUGACUGAACUAAUAAACAAAACAGCACCAGCAUGUGCCACAAAAAAUCUAAAGGAAGAAGGCUAUUACAGUCCUGAAAAUGGAAUAUGUUUAGAGACUACGUGUGUCAACCAAAAUGGUGAAAAAGAAAAUCAAUAUGAAAACACAGUGGAUUUGUUACAUCAUGCUGCUGAGCAAUGUCAGAUGGUUGCCAAUCGUCUAAAAUGGAAAGAAUUGCAGAAAAAGUAUGCUACAGCAGAGCUAACAACACAACAAGAAGUGCCUCAAAUAUUGCAAGACCAUUCAUCUUGUUCUAAUAUUAAACAGAGAUCCACCAAUGGGCAAGAAUUGUCAACACAACAUGAAAUCUCCUUGAAUGUACUGAAAUGUGAAUGCUGUUCUGAAAUGGCUCAGAAGCUUAAAGCUUCAGUUACUGAAUGUGGAAGAUUAAGAAAGGUCAUUAAGGAGAUAACUGAUGUGAAUAAGCGAUGGCAGAAAUAUAACCAAGAGAGACAAGAAUAUCUUCAACAGCUUCUUACUAACUUCCAGGAACUACAACAGAGAGUAAACACUUCAAAUUGUAAUGACUCUCUGCUAGAAAAUUCUUUGUCACUACAAACAGCCAACUCUGUUGCUGGAACUCAUGGAUCAUACAGACAUAGUGAUUCAGCUCUUCUAAAUAAACCAACAGAGCAGUUGACAUUAAAGCAAAGCUAUGAAAAGGUGGUCAAGGACAACUGUCGACUUCAGAAAGAACAAGAAGAAAUGCGUCAAAACUUUGAGGCUUUAGUUUAUCAACUAGAUCUUGUUAGAAAUGAACGAAAAGAGCAUAUAGAAGUUCUAGAAAUGCAGGUUAGAGCACACAAAGAAGAUUGGGAAGCUGAAAAGCGAGAAAAAGAAGAAGCACAAAUAAAAUUGAAACAUCUAACAGAGGAAUUAAGUACUGCAAAGGCCAUGAGUCGAGACCUUGAGCAACAGAUCUAUAAAAGUGAUAAAACUUGCCACUGUAGUUCUGAGAGCCAGGAGAAAGCUUUGGUUGUUCUUAAUGGUCAUGGCCAAGCAAAUAAAGUUGAUCAACUACAUCAGUGGUGGGCUCCAAAUUCUCCUGCUACACCAUCUAAUGAUCAAAAGAAGCAAAACAUAUCCCCAAACGAGCCAGCAAGUAUUCAAAACGUUAAUAACCAGACUUACUAUAGUAGUGUGGCUUGUAACAUCUAUGCUCCAGAAUUGCCUGAAGUUCUAUAUAGAGGUGUCAACUUCAAACCUCAGAUGAAAACAAAUGACUUGGUGGUUGAUGUCAGUACUUUUCAUCCAAAGGCAAAUAACUCCCCAACAAGAACUACUCUUAUUAAACAAUUAAAUGGUAAGGUUUCUCCACAACAGAAUAAGGACAAGGCUGAUGAUGCAGUUGAAUGCCCUGGAUGUUUAAGAAUGUUUCCAUCACAUAGACAUAUACAGUUCUUAGAUCAUUUUGAGCAGUGUCAAAAGUCACAGGCAUCAGAGUAAUUACAAUUAGAAAACUUAAUAUAUACUGGUCAUAGAAAAGUGACCUAUUUUUGUCAGGAUUGUCAAUUACCUUCUGGAUUUAUUCAUAAGGAAGUUUCAUACAUCUUAACAGAAAAGUCCAGUUUCAUGCUUAAUGAAGUUUGUUUAUUCUUUUCAACUGAAGACAAGUGGAUAUUUUCCCAUGUCUGAAACUUAUUUAUUGGAAAACCAUAUGAAAUUAGGACAUGUUAAUAUAUAUUAAUGUAACUUUUUGUACAAGUAUGGUUGAGAUGUUUGAUGAAUAUUUAUAGAAUGUUCACUGGUGAUCAACUGACACAACCAUAUUUAAUGAUCAUACCAUUAGCUAUUUAUUAUUCUACAUUUUUGAGUUAUUGGUCAAUAACUGUUCAAAUGUGUGAUGUUUUUCUGAUCGUCAUUUAGUAUUAAUGGCAUUAUCAUAAUACAGAUAUAACCAUUAUUAGGUAUUGAUUUCUUCACAUGUUACUAAAAGUAAGUAUCAUAAGUAUAGACAUGAUACUGAUUUAACCAACGCUUUAAAUUCUUAGUCCUGAAAUACAAAAGUUUGACUACCAGUACUAUUAAUACUCAGAUUCAUAACAGUGGUAAACUAUUGAUGAAGCAUUAUUUACAUGAUAUUUUUAUUCUGGAUCUGAUACAUUUUGGUUGAUAUAUGUUAUAAAAGACAUGUAUGCCAUCACUAGUUCUAUUUUUACUGUUCUAAUUUUAUUUUUAGAUACAUACAUUUUGUCUUUACAAUUAGCAUAGGAAAAAAUGCUAGAUAUGGUAACUUACAGUAUUAAGUAAUUUGUAAAUUAAAAAAUAUGACUACAACCAUCCAACAAGAGUAUCUAACAUUUAACAUGCAUAUUUUAGUAAUACAUGUUGAAAUGCAGUACUAGAAAUUUUUCCAGAUUUUCAGCUGCAUUCAUAUACAGUGUUCACUGUAUACAGAUGGUGAAAGUUUUUGUUUUGAUGGUCAAAUUUUCUGUUUAGGUUUAAAUAUUUAUGGUUUGUUGCUCUUUGUUAAAAAAAGUAUUUCUUGUUACUAACUUGAAAUCUUCUGUGAGGAAAUUGUUCUCUGAAAACAAAUUCUUUAAAAUUAAUAUCUACAACUUAUAGAAUUAAAGUAUUCCAUCAAUUUUAUACCAAAUAUUUAAGAUAGUAUAAAAAAUCUACAAAAUUAGGAUACUUUUUUUUAUUUUCAAUUAAUUAAUAUUUUGAGCUGUGAUGGUAUGGCCUUUUGAUAUUCUUUGAUCAAUAAGAUACAUGUUGAUAGUGAUUUCGUAGAAUAAUUUAAAUCACAGAUUACUUAUGAAAAAAAAAUUGUGAUUGUCAAAAUUAGUGCAAAUGUACUCUAAACUUUUGUUAACAUAUAAAUAAAAUAUUAUAAAUUUUCAUGAAAUUUAAAGGUUAAAAGCAUUUGAAACUGUAAAUACAUGACUGAGUUAUUUUAUUGGAAUUUUUUGUGGUUUUGAAUAACUUAUAUGAUUUUUUCUUUUUAAAAUAUCGUCUUAUUUAAUAUUGUUUUUUUUCUUUAGAGAUUUCUUUCUUGUUGUUAUGUUAUAGGUCUUAAUUUUGAACAAAAUUUACAAAUAUAUAUAGGUUCAUCACUUUGAAAACUGGAAAAUAUUACUUUUGUAACGACAUAAAACAUGGACUAAGAGGUCUUGUAAGAGUUACCAAAAGUAAGAGUGCAGGUGCCACCUAUGUCAAUGGUUUUCAAAGUAAAAGUAGGAAGACUUUUAACCACCAGGAAUUUCUAAACUUUAACACAGCCAUGUCACUAGAAGGAGCAGGUACGGGAUCUGAAAAUAAAUGUCAACUAACACUUUCUGUGAGAAACUUCUAAAAACAAAAGUGAGACAGUGGUCUUGACUGUGCAUAUAACUAGCACAUGAAAUAAGGUCAAUACUAUACAAAACUGAUUUCUUGUAUGAGAAAGACUGAAAGUGCAUAUAUGUGAAAAAGUUUGGUGAACUAAAUAACUUAGCUUUCUGUGAGGUAUGUCUCAAUCAGCUCUUGAUUAGGGGUGGAUAUUUCCAGAAAUUUUAUAUAGCAGUAUACUGCCAUAUUUAUAACUGUAUUGCAGUAUAUUAAAUCGUAGGAUACAGAGGUCAUUUGGUACACUCAUGGGUCACUUAGGCAUCAUUUAGCUUAUGUUGCUACAAUGUAUACUAUUGGCAGAUUGUACAAUAUAUGCCAUUAACAUGUGUACAAUUUGAUCCAAUCAGAAAGUGCCAUUAAAACUAAGACUAAACCAUAAUUAGAUGUUGGUAAAUUUGUGCUUGUGCUCACAAUUCACCAUUCAGGCUGACAACUUUACACAAAUGUUUCUAAGGUACAUCUCCAAACUACAGUUAUAAUAUUACGUUUAAUAGCAUUAGAGCAUGGUUAUCUAACAGAGAUAUUUUGAUAGCUUGUCCUUGAUGUUAUGACAGACAGGUUGAAACUAUUUCCAUUGUUAGUAUGGCUGGAAACUGCUUAAGAAACUUAAAUUAUAACCUAAUGUAGGUCUAAAUAUUUAGUGCUACAAAUCAAAUAACUAUACCACAAAACAAAGUUUGUUAUGAAUUUGCAUUACUUGGCAUCAAUACCUUUUCAUUUAAUGUGUAAUGUUUAUUACUAAAGCUUUGGUGGUUGUUGAGAUUAUAAAUAGAACUUGGCAGAACAUAAACAUAUCAAAGUAAACAAAUUGCCCCCAUGGAUGACUCAUAACUUGUGCUUAAAUUGGCAAGAAAUUACAUAACUAGACAACUCAAAUAAUUAUUUUAGCAUAUUAUUUGGACGUGAAAAGUUUGAAAACAUUAAAUGUAAAUAUUUUUCUCCUUUCCAGGAUUGAUGUCCAUCAAUGAGCAUGACAAUAAUACUAGAAUCCUUAUCAAAACAUGGGAAGGCCAAGGGUUAGAAAAUCAUUGGUUGAAAUAUUUUGUUUUUACAGAAAAAAGUGGGCCAGGCAGUCCAGUCAGUUGUGAGCACAGUGGCCAUAAACCACCACCUCUCUAGUGGUUGAAUUGGAUCUGGAGCUAAAGUUGUCUUAAGAGGAAACUGGGUGCCAGGAAGGGACACCCAAGAUAUUUGCCAACACUCAACCAGCACCACCAAUGACAGAGGUGUAGAUUUUAAUGGCUAGUAGAAGGACCACCGUAAAUAGAAAUGUGGUAGUUGUGAAGGUCUUUAUACUAACCACACCAGUAGUACAUUUGACAGCAAGAGCCUUCAGGUUGAAUGAAGGUGCCUCCACCUCAAAAGCUGACCAAAACGUAACUGUGACUCCCCAUACCACUACCAAGACAAAGCUCGGGACAUUCACACUAACAUCAGCAGAGCAACUAGCGACUAUGUGGUCCAAUGAGCUACCUCAAUGACAACCAAGGGUUGACCAGCCCACCACUGUUUCAUUGUUCUGACAGAGCAGCAGGUACAGCUAAUAAAUUGGCACUGAUAGUAAGAUAACAGCCAUGUAAAACAGGGAAUAAGCCCUCAAUCUCACCUUCCAUGUUGGAAAAAGAGGUCCACUACCUGUAGAUAGAGCUGGCCCAAACCAAGAUGAUCCUUGGUUCAAGAAAUCACCAAGGACAUUAUGGCAACCAAUCAUGAUCUGUCACUUCUUUAGAGGAUCUGCUGUUAGGGUGAAAGUGAGGGGAGUCAGAUCUCAUUGCUAUUGUUAAGAUAGUUAUAUACAUUUUUAAUUUAAGGUCUGUAAAUAUCUGUAUCUUUGCAUUUCAUUUUUUUUCUGUUUGUUGUUCCAUUAUCUCAAAUGUACAAAUUCCCAAUUUGUUUGUGUAUUUGCACACUAUGAACAUAGUUUUAAUCUUUCUGUACUGUAAUUUCUAAGGGAUUUAUUUUCUUUAUCUUGUGUAUAAAUAUCAGUGUUUUAGGAUCAAUUCUGCAUUCAUUUCAGACAAUUUGUUUAGUGAUUUCUAUUUAGUUUUAUGUUGUAAUUAUAAUAUUCAUAAGGCCUAGAAAAAGAAUGCUUUGUUUCUGGUUGACCGACCGACCCUACAUAACAAUGUUUUUUCAACCCCUCUCCUCCAAAAAAAAUCACUCCUGACCCACCCUAACGAAAAAUGCUCUUUGAUUUUUUUUUCGUUAAAUUAUUGAAUUAAUAUGCUACUAUAUUGUACAAGGUGAAGGGAAUAAGAAACCACGUCUAUGAUUCGUUAGUCGGUGUGGUACGUGUGUCAAUGCUCUUAGCCAUUUAACUCUCACAACACAGGUUUGUCCCCUGGUGGGACAGCAGUAAGGUUAUGGGUUCGAUUCUCUGUGGUGGACACAGCAAAUAGCCCAGUGUGGUUUUGCUCUAAAUCACAAACAACAUGAGUUUGGUCAAGUUGAUUGACCGCAUGACCACUUUGUACUUGUUAUGGUCACAAACUUUUGCAGACUUUCAGUAAACUUUAUAUUCAAAAAAUUAGAUUUUUAGUGAAGUAUUUUUACUACAGAUUUGUCUGUGAAUAUAUCGAACCUUUCUUUUUACCAGUCCGAGUGCAAAGUGAUUUUUUAAGAUUAAAAAUACUUUUCUUCAUCUCGAAUGUCAUUUGCGUAAUCUAUAAAACCUAUUAAAUAUAUUUCAAACGUUCUUUUUUUUUUCAAUAAAACAUAAUAAUAGCUCUAUACAAGUUUGGUCAAUUUAACUGGCCUCAUAACUACAAAAAAAAAAUUGAAAUAAAUAUAAAUUACACUUUUUUCUGUAUGGAAUGACUUCACAUUGCAACAUGAAACUACAUUUGUUUAUCCUAAGUAGUUAUAAACUCAUAACAGUAUACAUCUAUUUAUACAUAAAUUAUAUUGUUGUACUGCCCUUUGAACCUUGUCUAACUACUAUUGUACCAUUAUAAGUUGUAACUCACUUGGGGAACGUGCACCUCACGUUAUCUAUAGAAUUACAUUACCCAUGAGCUAUUCUGAGCUGUUCAUGAAAUUUUUGUAUUAUUUUAUCAUUUAUUUUACCUAAACUAACCUUACCCAACCUAAAGAGUUUCGAAUUUUUACAUUUUAGUUCUAUAGUGACCAUAUGUCUAAAUAAUACUUUUUCUGAUAGUGCUUAGCAUCUAGAACAAUCUGAUAUAUUAUAAAAUAUGUAUCUGUAUUAAAAAUACCCUGCCUACCUACCCAAUUGUUUUCAGCAUGUAAUAGGGAACAAAGCAUUUGCUUUUCUAGACCUAAAUGUUAAACGUUUUAUUUUGGAUAUUGUGUACAUGGAUUUCAGUGUUUUGGUUUCAGAUCAAAUGGUUCAUUUUGUGACUCUUACUUUGUAUUUUUUCUUAUGCUGAAUUGUAGUUGUAGUUGUUGCUCUAUAUCAGAGUGCUGAAUUGUGUGUUUUUGAAUUUAGUAUGUUGUAACAUUUCAUUGUUAAAGGGUUUAUAUUAUGAUUAAUACAUUUUUUGUGAGUGUCACUAUGCAAAAUUAGUAAGUGAUGUAUUGUGUUCCAUUGUGGAAGAUUUUUCCAGUGUGUAUACUGUAUCUUUAUUGAAGAGCUAUUAAUGUAAAACAAAUGUAGGUUUCUUUGUUGACUCUGUGGAUCAAAGUGCUUAUAACACUAUGUCAAGUUUUAUUUAUGGGCUGGAUUGUUUACAGUAGGUGUCUGUGACUUGUUGGAGAUAAAUUUUAACAAUAAACAAAUAACACAGUCCACUUGUUUUAAAAUAUAUUAAAAAGAGUCAAACAUAUAUAUAAAUGUUUGUUAUGCUGUUGGUUAUUACAGGUGUAUUGAGAGCUUUAAAUAAUUGCCUCUUUCUUGUCAAAGUCCACACAGGCCAAUUCAGUUACUUUAAAAUUUGCCACUACACGCUCUCUAUGACAAAACUCACAGUCGUGCAGUCUAGAUCUAACUAAAUUUUCAAUGUGUAUUUAUACCCCAACUGAUGCCUAGAAUGUUCCACAAACUACUAAAUAUUGUGAUGCAAUAAUACUCAAUUAAACAUGGGAAAAACUGAAAAAGGGUCUAGUAACAUGAUGCAAUAACAUAAUUGCCAAUUCACAACAAUUGAACCACAAGGUAUGAUUCGUAAACAGUUACGUAAACAAACUUCUAAAAAUAACUAAAUUUAACACUCAUGCUAUAUAAUGAUUUAAAUCAUAACUAUCACAUUAAACUUAACUGGAGGCUGUUGUUAUAUCUAACACACUACUCUUUUACAGAGUUACAUUCAAAAUAUAAUUAAACAACUUAAUUAUCAAUGCAUACCAAUUAGCUAGGCAUCAAAAAUUAGUUUAUUCUAAUUUCAAUGUUAUAUAAGUUUUAAUUUCAAAAGGAAAUGUCACCAAGCUAAGAUAUUAAUUUAUAACCUUUAUUCCUGAUGCUCUACUGAAAGUCAAACCCUCCUAGGACUUCCUGUCUUUCAAAAAUAUGAGUAAUUCUCUAGAACAUUUAAUAUUGGGUUAUUUCUAACAAAUAGAAAGAGAAGAUUCCAGCUUAUUGAAUGGGAUGAGACUAGUAGCCAUCUGGAUAACUAGUUUUUAAGUCUUUGGCAUCAUUUAUGUUGUCUGCUAGCAGUGAAACUCUGCUUGAUCAGACAUGUGAAUUAUUUAACUAAUUCCUAGCUUAGUUAGAAAGCUGGAUAAAUUAUAUUUGUUUUAGAACCUUCUAUUUUACAUUAGUAAUGAUAUUUCGUAUUUAAAAUUGAAUAUGUGAACUUAAUAAAAUUACUUUUGAGACCACACUUGUUAUACAAAAUUAGAGUUUUUGUAUGACAUGGACUUUUUUAGUUAUUGUUAUAAAAGUAAAUAAAAUAUAGAAAUUAGAAACUUGCUAGGUUAGCAAAGAAAAAUAAAUAAAAUAUUCAUAGCAUGCACUCAGCAUGAGCGUAUUUGUGUGAUUUGAUAAGAGUGUGCUGGUAAUUGAUCCUUUGUUUUUACAUAGCUAUUCUGCAUAAAACAUAGCUAUCACACAACCUAACAGGAUCUAACAGCAACUGUAAUGUAUUAAAACUAAAUGAAAAAUAUAUUAGUUGUGGCUGUAAAAAUAAAUAGUGUGUACGUUUUUGUUACACUACAUCAUUCUAGAAAAAGUAAUUUAGAUUUAUUUUUACAUGAUGGUUAUAAGGUUGAUCACACUGAUUGAGAUGAAUAAAGGGGCAAGAGAAAGUUUCGGUACUUCUUGAUCUAGGCAUGUGUAUAGAUUCUAUUAAUUAUAGAGUUAGAAUUAAAUGUUAGCUUGAGGACAAGCAUGAAGUAUUUACUGUGGCAAGAGAGAGUUACAGUACUUCUUGAUCAGUGCACGUGUAUAGAUUCCAUAGAUAUUAAUUAAUAUAAAAUACUGGCUUGAGGACAAGCUUGAAAUAAAGAGGGAGGAAAAAUGUGGUGUAUAUAAUGCAUUUUACCUGAUUUUAAUAGAGCAUUUUUCAAAAUUCGUCAGUUAUUCUGAUAUGCAAAUUUGGUCAAUAAAUUUGUUAAGUUGCUUUCAUCCUAAUUGCAUUUAUUCUUUGUUAGUUUCUUGAGAUAACAGCUAAUUCUCCUGUGGAAAGUAUGGAUGUAAAGCUACAUCUUAUGCAUUGAUAUUUACAGCAGUAUCCAUCAUUGGUAGUUCUUAUGAUUCCACGAUGUUAUGAUGCCCUUUAUGUUUGAAUACGAAUAACCAGUCACAUUGAAAACACUGGUCACUCUGGAUAAGCCUGACAUUAUAGUUUUCUAAAUAACAUUAGGUUUGUUAGUCUGGUACUUGAUUUCAACUGGGACAAUCUGGUAUAUUAUCUCAACUGAUACAGUUUACAAAGAAAACUGUUCAAGAUACAAUAAAAAUGAU